AGACGGAGGGGGCGAGCGUUGUUCGGAAUUACUGGGCGUAAAGGGCGCGUAGGCGGCCAGCCAAGUCAGGGGUGAAAGGCCUGGGCUCAACCUGGGAACGGCCUCUGAAACUGGCGGGCUUGAGUGCGAGAGAGGAUGGCGGAAUUCCCAGUGUAGAGGUGAAAUUCGUAGAUAUUGGGAAGAACACCGGUGGCGAAGGCGGCCAUCUGGCUCGGUACUGACGCUGAGGCGCGAAAGCGUGGGGAGCAAACAGGAUUAGAAACCCCGGUAGUCC
rnacentral:rRNA from 1 species